GGAUAGAUAGGUUAUAACUAAACCUUUAGAUUCAUGCUCUAACUAAGUGAAUACACUCUCUCCA
rnacentral:tRNA from 1 species